rnacentral:rRNA from 1 species
AACGAACGCUGGCGGCAUGCCUAACACAUGCAAGUCGAACGAGACCUUCGGGUUUAGUGGCGCACGUGUGCGUAACGCGUGGGAACCUGCCCUUAGGUUCGGAAUCACUCCCCGUAAGGGGUGCUCAUACCGGAUAAUGUCUUCGGACCAAAGAUUUAUCGCCUUUGGAUGGGCCCGCGUUGGAUUAGCUGGUUGGUAGGGUAAAAGCCUACCAAGGCGACGAUCCAUAGCUGGUCUGAGAGGAUGAUCAGCCACACUGGGACUGAGACACGGCCCAGACUCCUACGGGAGGCAGCAGUGGGGAAUAUUGGACAAUGGGCGAAAGCCUGAUCCAGCAAUGCCGCGUGAGUGAUGAAGGCCUUAGGGUUGUAAAGCUCUUUUACCCGGGAUGAUAAUGACAGUACCGGGAGAAUAAGCUCCGGCUAACUCCGUG